rnacentral:rRNA from 3 species
UACGAAGGGUGCAAACGUUGCUCGGAAUUAUUGGGCGUAAAGCGCACGUAGGCGGCUAUCUAAGUCGGAUGUGAAAUCCCUCGGCUUAACCAAGGAAGUGCACCCGAAACUGGAUAGCUUGAGUACAGAAGAGGAUCGCGGAAUUCCCGGUGUAGAGGUGAAAUUCGUAGAUAUCGGGAGGAACACCAGUGGCGAAGGCGGCGAUCUGGGCUGAUACUGACGCUGAGGUGCGAAAGCGUGGGGAGCAAACAGG